rnacentral:rRNA from 1 species
CAGUAGCCGCGGUAAUACGAAGGGGGCUAGCGUUGUUCGGAUUUACUGGGCGUAAAGGGUGCGUAGGCGGAUUGUUAAGUCAGGGGUGAAAUCCCGAGGCUCAACCUCGGAACUGCCUUUGAUACUGGCGAUCUUGAGUCCGGGAGAGGUGAGUGGAACUGCGAGUGUAGAGGUGAAAUUCGUAGAUAUUCGCAAGAACACCGGUGGCGAAGGCGGCUCACUGGCCCGGAACCGACGCUGAGGCACAAAGCGUGGGGAGCAAACAGGAUUAGAUACCCCGGUAGUCCCUGUCUCUUAUACA